UACGUAGGGUCCGAGCGUUAAUCGGAAUUACUGGGCGUAAAGCGUGCGCAGGUGGUUUUGUAAGCCAGAUGUGAAAAUCCCCCGGGCUUAACCUGGGAACUGCAUUUGGUACUGCAAGGCUAGAGUACGGCAGAGGGAGGUGGAAUUCCAGGUGUAGCAGUGAAAUGCGUAGAGAUCUGGAGGAACACCAAUGGCGAAGGCAGCCUCCUGGGCUAGUACUGAUGCUCAUGCACGAAAGCGUGGGGAGCAAACAGG
rnacentral:rRNA from 1 species